GGGGAUAUAGCUCAGUUGGUAGAGUGCUUGCCUCACAUGCACAAGGUCCUGGGUUCAAUCCCCAGUACCACCA
rnacentral:tRNA from 1 species